rnacentral:rRNA from 1 species
UACGUAGGGCGCAAGCGUUGUCCGGAAUUAUUGGGCGUAAAGAGCUCGUAGGCGGCUUGUCACGUCGGGUGUGAAAGCCCCGGGCUCAACCUGGGAACGGCGCGCGAGACGGGGGGGCUGGAGUUCGGGAGAGGAGCGUGGAAUUCCCAGUGUAGAGGUGAAAUUCGUAGAUAUUGGGAAGAACACCGGUGGCGAAGGCGGCGCUCUGGACCGAGACUGACGCUGAGGCGCGAAAGCGUGGGGAGCAAACAGG